rnacentral:lncRNA from 1 species
CAAUCAACAUCUCCUUAUGAAUACACUGUUACAUCCUAAAAUGAACAAAGGAAGAAAGAUAAACGCAUCAGCCAAAGUGGCUGUCCAGCUCUGACACAGCCACUGAGCCUGACACACAUCGUUGUUGGCAGCAGCGCAAAUUAGUGCUCCAGUGACAGCCACCCCGUGGCAGAAAUGCCUUUGCAAGUUAGGAUGCUCAGAGAUCUGUAAGCCUGGGGAAAGCACAGCCUGGAGAGAUGGAGCCGUGGCAAGCCGAGAGAGGUGAGGACAACUGGAAAACCCGACAAGAAACAUCAAAAGAGAAAUAUGAAGCUGAGAUUUGAAAAGCUUCUAGCCCUGGGGUUCUCUCUUGUCAUUUUUGAAUGCCAGAGAUGUGUAGUAUCAGAAAUAUCUUCACUCUGAGGUACUUUUGAACAUUGCUUAUCAAAUAAAUAAUAAGUUUAAUGACA